rnacentral:rRNA from 1 species
AUUGAACGCUGGCGGCAGGCCUAACACAUGCAAGUCGAACGGUAACAGGAAGAAGCUUGCUUCUUUGCUGACGAGUGGCGGACGGGUGAGUAAUGUCUGGGAAACUGCCUGAUGGAGGGGGAUAUCUACUGGAAACGGUAGCUAAUACCGCAUAACGUCGCAAGACCAAAGAGGGGGACCUUCGGGCCUCUUGCCAUCGGAUGUGCCCAGAUGGGAUUAGCUAGUAGGUGGGGUAACGGCUCACCUAGGCGACGAUCCCUAGCUGGUCUGAGAGGAUGACCAGCCACACUGGAACUGAGACACGGUCCAGACUCCUACGGGAGGCAGCAGUGGGGAAUAUUGCACAAUGGGCGCAAGCCUGAUGCAGCCAUGCCGCGUGUAUGAAGAAGGCCUUCGGGUUGUAAAGUACUUUCAGCGGGGAGGAAGGGAGUAAAGUUAAUACCUUUGCUCAUUGACGUUACCCGCAGAAGAAGCACCGGCUAACUCCGUG